UCUCCCGUGACCCGAUGACCUCUCCCCGGGUGCUCCGCUUGGUAGAUUGUAACGGACCACGACGAGAUCCGCCGGGGAGGAGCACCACGACGGGACGAGCUGGGUCGCCACCAGGCAGGCAACGAGAAGCCGGAACAUUGCGAUAUCCGCACCCGAUACCGAACAACAGAGCAGGACCUGGAGUCGGGGUCCAAGUGGGAAGGGAUAGAAGAGGUUGGCACCACAUUGUGGGCCGAAGAGCCAGUCCUGCGCUGUGAUGCUCUAUGGCGUCUCCCCUCAGCUUCCGCAGCUCCAGAGAAGACCACCCAAGCUCGUCCAGCCUCUCGCGACAGCACGCCCUCUAAUCCAGGCAGCAUCUGGGUGGAACUCCUCUGCAGCCCUCCAAAGCCUCCUCACCCUUCCUGUGGAGGGGAGGCCAGAACUGAGGGAAAUUUCUCCAGAAGUGGCUCAACUACAGUUGCAGAAAGCUGCAA